rfam:Populus trichocarpa scaffold_16_contig_28, whole genome shotgun sequence.
UUAUUGUGGUCUGGUAGAUCCUCAUCUAGUCGUGGCAAACUUAUUUUUGACUGCUCAGAACCACUCAUUAUCGCAAGUCCAACAACAUCACUUGAGAUCUGAUGUUUGUGGUUUGAAUUUCAUCUCCACGUCA